UUUCUUGCUGCUGUUCUUGGUCUUUCUGCUUGUGGGCCAAGUGGAUCUGUGUAGGAGGCAUCUGGGAUUUAAAUAAAUACAUUUGAAAUGGUUACCUGCAAGUAAUUUUUAUCACUGCACAUCUUUGUUUCAGACAUACAAAAU